GCCGGGGUAACUCACCGGUAGAGUGUCUCCCUGAAAAGGAGAAAGUAGUGGGUUCGACUCCCACCCCCGGCACCA
rnacentral:tRNA from 1 species